ACAGCACCCUUGUACCGCUCAGCUUUCUAGAGCGUUUUCCUCUUCUGCAGCCUCGAGCGUUCUUCCUUGAAUACUACGAGCCCCCCACCUCUGCCGAACCCCCGUUCGCUAGACAUCCCCCAGUCGUUUCCUUUUUCGGACCCCUUCGCGCCUCCUGCUUCCCCUGCGCCUCACCUUCCUCAACGCCCCGCGCGCUCUGGCCGGUCUCCGCCCCUGCUCAGCUCCCCUCUCCGCCAGGCAACGGCUUUCCCUGGCCGAGGGCUCCAGCCCGCCCCGGGGCCCCGGACACCUGCCUCCUCCCGGCUUCUGCCCGGCAGGUCCCGGUCCCCACCUCUUAGUCUCAGUUCUCCUCUUUCUUGUCCCGAUCCGGGACCUUGGGAGCUGAGAAUCCCUCACCUGGCCCGGCCCUUCCUACCGCUCGUCCCUCGCCCCCUCGCCCGGGCCGGGUCCUCAGGUUCCUCGGGGCUUCCUCGCCCUCCUCCCCUUCGCUCCCUCCCCCUGCGGGGUGUUUUAUUUGUAUCUGUUUGAUAUUUUCCUCCUCGGUGUUUGCCGCGGAAUGUUUUUAUUGGUAACGUGUUAGGAGCUUUUGUGAGGUCGUAAAAGGUGAACUUUUGAACUUGGAAAGCGCCCUGGAGCAAUUAGCGCAGGCGAUCGCCCCGGGAGGCCUGCAUUACAAAGGGUGCUCGCACCGGCCGGCAAACGCUCCGGCGGCAAACCCGAUUUAUUUAUUUGCCCUGUUUUCCACCUUUCACAUCUCCUCAUUUCCGAAUAAAGGGAGGCUCUCAGAGAUCAGUGCCUCCUCCCCUCGCUGCGCCAUAAACUCGCAGUUCUCUGAGAGAUCUAGGACCGAACAGUGUCUAACAAGUAACAGAUUUCAAAUUGAAUGCAAACACCCGGGACAGUUAGGAGGCACUAAAAAUUAACUGCUUCACCAAGAGGUUUCUCAAUCAGGACAGUGACCUGGCAGGUGUGAGGAAAGUAACCUGAAAAUAGGUCAGUUAGGCGCUCAAUUGUUGAAUGAGUGAGUAGCUACAGACGGUGGAAAUCUUGGGUUGGAUCCGUGCCUUCAUACGUUUAUUAACUAGUCAAACAUUUUGUUAGUUCAGGAGAUCUGGUGUUUUUUACAAAAGGGAAAAGUCCGUGUAGAAGAGAGCUUGGUUAACUUCACUUGAUGUUGCUGAUCUUAAAAAUAAUGAUGUGUUUUCAGAGCUCUUUUUUUUUUUUUUUUAAUUUGUGUAUGAUGUAUGAUGGCUAGGUGGCUGGCCGUUCCGUGGGCUGUCGUUGGCAACUAAUUUCUGAAUGUGAACAUGUUUGAGAUCAAUAAAAUUCCGUGUCACAAAGGGGGAAGCUGGAAUCCAGUUAGGGUAGAAGGAGACAGUAUAAUAGGAACAAAGGAUUUCUUUAAUGCCUUUGACUUUUUAAGCUAGUUUGUGUGGAGAUUUGGUUUGGUAUUAAUUUGUGAGUGUUGUAAAUCCUGAUCUAAAUUUUCCCAUGCUGAUUUUUUUGAAUCCAAACCCCAACCUAUCUUAUAUCCCAUAUUAGCGUGUAUAUUUCUGUGAUGCCUUCCUAUGUGUGAAUACUUCCUGUACCCACCUGUGCAUAUAAUGUAGAUGACGGAUUUUACUGCAAUUCAAUAUUUACUGCAAUAUUGCUUUCAAUUCUACUUGAGAAUAAUAGUGUUGUAAGAGAAACCUAAGAACUGCAUUUGUUAUUAAUUAUUCAUUAGUACAUUUUAAAGAACUCAAUGGUAAUUUUAACUCUUAAUCAGAUUUCCCAUUCAUAGUCUCAUUUCCUCAAUUGGUCAGAACCAUUUGAAAGAAUGUUAUCGAGCAAUCCAUUUAGACUAAGGUGGCUUUAAAGCUUUACAUUAGUCUAAGUUAGUGGUACAGAUGUUUUCUUUUUGCUGAAAAUACAAUGGGAACUUUUGGCAGCUUGAUGGGCUUAAAAUACACUAGACGCUAGACCGUUGUGGGAUAUUUUUCAGUGUAAAAACUAGCAUUGUGCAAUGUUUUACAAUUUAUGUUCAUUAGCACUUAUGAAGUUAACAUGCUCACAGAAGAAUUGCCAAAAAUUUUUUUAAGUUUGCCUAUGGAACAAUGGGCACAUUUUUUCUUUUUUGCUUCCUAAUUAAUAUUUUUCUCCAAAAAUAUAUGAAACUGCUUGUUCUGAGUAGAAAAGAAAUGAAUUAUCUGUUUUUUACUCCUAGUGACUGAUUUCUAUUUUAUAUGAACUAUUUUCAAGAGACAACUAUACAGAUAGGGGGUCUUUUGGUCUCUGUCAUGAAGAAAUAAACUGGAGGUGGCAUUUUAGAAAUGUUUUCCUACCGGAAACACCAUUGAUGCUGAAUUUACAGUCCUUUGAAUGGUUUUUAUUCUGUCAGAACAGAGUUUCUUUCUAGCCUUUUGAUGCACCAUCAUCCUUCCAGGAAUUCCCUGUGCUGACUGCGCUAUUUUCAGUUGUUGCUUGUAGGUUUUCAUAACAAACAUGAACUCAUUUAGUUGUAAUAGAGGACUGCUCCCUUUUGGGAUUUCAAAGGAAGAUGAAUGAUUUGAGGAAGUGUAUGCUGAAUAUUGCAUUUGUUCAUUUUAAGAGAAUGAGGGAAUAUACUUUUAAAUAUUUAAAGCAAAGGAAGGCAAAGGAAGGUUAUAAGCCAUUAUAAGUAAUUAAAAGCAUAUUUUAUGUAAUUACACUUUAGAGGAAAUGGGGAGAAGUUCACUGAAUAGCACGGUGCCUUUUUCUUCUGCUAUAACCAUGCCGUCCAAAUGUUUAUGCUGGAAAAUAAAUUGGCAAAUAUUUCCCAUGAUGAUUUAACUUUUCAGUUCUGUGAUUUAAAAAAUUAAGUUAAUUCUGAGUUGCCCCAGAAUUUUUUCCUACUCCCAUUAGAAAAAAACAAAACCAAAAACAUGCUGUAGUACUGUUGUUUCUUAGUACAUACAGCACGCAGGUUUUUCUUUUUUUUUUUUUUUUCUUUUUUUGUAGCUUCUGUGACCUCCAAAGACGGCUAGGGUAGAAGAAAGGCGACAGUGAGCAAAUUCACUGGUGAUUUUGCAUAGCUGAGGUGGGAGAUGACCACAUUUACAGUCUCCAGUGUACAAGCCACCAAAUCAUUCAGCAGUUCUGAUUCAUGUAACCAAAAUAUGAUGACAUGAUUCCUAAUCUAUAAUUCAUUCUGACUUCCGUAGCAAAAAGGUGUAUGCAAGGCACAUGUGUUAGUACAUGAAAGGGAGUUGGAUGGGGAGCUAAUGAAAAAAAUAACUGCUGGUAAAUUUCCAAAAAUAUGUCCAAAUCAUGCAUUUCCAUAUUUUAUUUAGAAUUUUCUGGUUUCUCAUUCCCUACUUUUUUCCUAGGGUUUUGGGGCAAAGGUGGAAAAUAGAGUUUAGAUUAAAAUACCACAUUUUAGAAUAGUAGAGGAUGGUAGGUAGAAAUGCCAACUGUUGCUGUAACAUUGGUAGAGGAAGUUUCUUAUACCACCCCUAGUGUUUGUUGUGCAAGUUGGCUUUAAAUUGCUAAUGAUGCUUGCAUGUUUUGGAGCUUGGAGCUGUGUUUCAUUUGUGUUAGUGGGAAGAUUUACCACUUCAUUUUUAUAAUUGGGUAGAUAUUAUUUAUUGGUUAUGUUGAAAAAUUGGUUUGUUAAUGAAUUGUGUUCAGAUGGCAACUUCUAGCUUAAGAAUUGCAUAAAGCCAGGAUAGAUUCUCCCACAUUAGGAGACUUCAUUGUCAGCAAAUUCAUCGAGAUCUUUGGGGCUGGUCAUAAUCUUUGCUUCUUAAGUUUAUUUUUGAUUUAUAGCCAAAUUAAUGACACUUUUCUGUUCAGUAUUUUUCCAUGCAUAAUAAUUAAGUUGAAAGUGACACUUGAGAAGAUGUGUUUUAGAGUAAAUUUUACAUUGUUGGGUCAGUCUGUUUUUUUUAAGUAGGACAGUAAAAGUGCCUUAUUUCAUGUGUAAAAACAGAUUCUAGUCAUGUGGGAAAAAGGUCAGAAUUAGAAAAAUCAAAGUUCUGAAUCAACAGAUAAACACGCUUGUAUUUCAAUAAAGAAUAAAUGUGCUUGAAACAGUUUUUAACAGAAGGUAGCUAUCUAAUCUGCCCACAUAAGUAGUGAUCUGAUAUACCCAACUCUUUGUAAUACUUUGAGAGCAUUUCCAAAACCAAUUAAGUUGUGAAGGAAAAUGUUUUUCACACUUCUGCAUUAAGAUCAACCUUAACUUUUUAAUUAAAGUUUUUUCCUGGCUCAGGUAAUUUCUUAAGGGUUUAUGGAUGCCUUCGAUAACUAGGGUUCAGAAAUACCAGAAUUAUUAAAAAUGAGCAAGAAAGUGGUUUGGUACUGAGCAGGUAAUUCUUUCUUGGGUAUUGAGCUUUUUAGAGCUUAAGUUUCAGAUUCAGCUGAGCUUAAAUUUAAAAAACGUCUCUAGAUGUAACUUUGAUAUACAGUAUUUCUAGAAUCCAGCCCAGUCUUUUGUUCAUUGAUUGUUUUCCAACAUGGCUUGUCUUUAAGAAAAAGACAAGGGUGUUAGACUGUAACACCCUUAGUAAGUAAUAGAAAAUCAGAAGAAAACCACUGUGAGAUGUCUAACCUGUUUUUCAGUAUGGCGGAGAAAUAGCCACAGGAAAAAGAGGAGAGCAUCAUUUGAAAGAAUAAAACAUUUCCUACGGUAUUUCGUUCUUCAUUCUUUGUUACCUGCUAUUAAACAGCAGCCUUUGUAGAAAAGCUUCUCAAAAAAACCCAGAGUUUUUUCAGUGGUUACAGUUAUUUAAAUAAGACUUUACUAGUGUAACCCGGUAAUUCUAAUUAACAGUGAUUUAGUUUGGGAGCGGACCAGGAUUUCCUCAGCCGGCUGCUGGGGAGCUGAAUUGCUUUUUUCCCCACCCCCAGCUGCACCAAAUCUUUUGAUCCCCAAGCUACAGUGGUUGUCAUUUGAGAAAGCAAACUGAGAGAAAAUACGUUGUGAAAAUAGCCUACUUUGAAACUUCAUUUGCAUUUUGGAAUUUUUGUUCUUAAAAAAAUUAUAGGAAUAAUUGAACUCCCAAAUUUUUAUCUUGACAGAAGCAAACUGGCCAAAUUCUUACGUCUAAAUAGAAAAUUCCUGGAUUUCCUAAAAUUUUUUUGCUUUAAAAAUUUCGGGGGCUGUUUUAAUAUUGACAGUCACGAUUUCAAAAGAGAAAUGAUUCUAAUUAUAAAUUCACAGGAGGGCUUCAAGUGUUCUGAGUUUCUUUAAGGAGUGUGUGUUUGGGACAAAUAAAGUUAUGCAAUGGAGUAGUUUUCAUUCAGGGUAGUUUGUGGUUUCUCCAUCAGCAUUAUAUAAUCUCAAAUACAGAAUCACGGAUUCUUACGUCUUAUACUAAAUAAACCAUACAAUUCGUUACAUUAAGAAUUAACUUUAAAAAAGUGUCUUUAAAUGAUGAGGCCUUUGGAUUCUAAUUGUAAACUCUACACCCUUCAAUUUGUUUACACCAGAGAAGCUAUUCAAGCAUAAACCACAGAUGGCAGUAGCAGUAUAUUUUUCUGUUUCUGGACUGAUUCUUGCCUUUAAGUUGGUGUCAGUUCUAUGGGCCCUGCUGAUAAGUCAGCUGGCAGGUGUAAUGUUUCUAAAACCAAUUCCCUGGGCAGCAACAUGUAAUGUAUUCAGGGAAACAAAUCCAGGCAUUUGAUUUGAAGAUAUACUCUGUGGGUGGUUUGACCCAGAAUAGUGACUUUGCACUCACUGCCCAAGUGAGAAAUUAUUUUAAAAAUUUGGUAAUAGUGAUUAAGGGAGUUGUUAGAGUAAUAGCUAUAGCACAUUGGAAUUGUAGUGGUAUUAUUAGCAGAGAAUGUAUCUAACAGAUAUUUGCUUGAACAACUAUUUGCAUUGUAAACAAUUUAUAACUCAUUAAAAAUAUACUCAAGAUUCAUAUUUUGAGAGAGAAAUGCACAACUAAAUUCUUCAUGUGAAAAAGAUGGAUAAUCUUCCCAGCUUUUUAUUUCCAGUUCCUCCUUACAUUUCAUAGAAUCAUGGAUUUUUAGAUCUGUGUAUAAGAGCAUUUUGGAGGUCUAAGAGUGGGUUCUGCUUGCUCUUCCAACCCAUCAUUGUAAUGCCCAAAUUUCUGUAUUCUCUAUUUUCUUCUAAAACACUGAUGAAAAAAAGAGAUGAUUGAUUAGAUUUCCUGUGAUAUUUUAUCUAUGAUGUUUCCUUCAGGUGUAAUCCCAUAGUUUAGAGCUCAGGAAACAUUUUAGUAACAAAUCUACCGCAAAAUGAAGCAUAGACUGAAUCAGUGAAGGGAAUAGCUUAACCAGAUAGUUUUUUCUUUUCUUUUUUUUUUUUUUGUGAUGGAGUCUCACUCUGUUGCCCAGGCUGGAGUGCAGCGGUGCGAUCUCUGCUCACUGCAACCUCAGCUUCCUGGGUUCAAGCGAUUCUCCUGCCUCAGCCUCCUGAGUAGCUGGGAUUACAGGCAUCCACCACCAUGCCCAGCUAAUUUUUGUGUUUUUAGUAGAGACAGGGUUUCACCAUGUUGGCCAGGCUGGUUUCGAACUCCUGACCUCAAGUGAUCCACGUGCCUCAGUCUCCCAAAGUACUGGGAUUACAGACAUGAGCCACCGCGCCUGGCAGUUUUCAUUUUUAAAACUAGUUUUAUUAAUUCAAGUCCCCAUUUCAAUCAUGAAGCUGUAUGAAGCUGUAUCACCUUGGAAGAAUUAAAAAUUCAGUCUUUUAAUUCCUUAUGCUCCACUGGAUCAGAUGCAAUGUUCUUUUUAUUAUGGCUAAUUCCAGUUUAUCUAAUUUAGUCUUUCUGUCACGAAAGAAAAGCUAGAAGACAGAACACUUCUGUGUAGCCUUAUGUACUUUAUCCCCCUUCCUCAUCCCUUGCUUUUUAAAAUUUAUAAACAAAUAAUGAAGUAGUACUCAAUUGUAUUUUCUGUCAUUCUUUGACCAUUCAUUACUAUUGUUUGUUUCAAACUUAAUCUCUUCCCAUUUAUUGAGUCCUUAAAUUUAUUUAUGGUUGCAUCCAAACCAGUGAUUUUCAAAGUGUGGUCUGCAAACCUCUGGGGGUCCUUGAGACCCUUUCAGGAUGUUCUUAAAUAUAUUUUAAUCGUAAUGCUAAGACAUCAUUUGCCUUUUUUACUGUAUUGACAUUUACACUGAUUUUGCAGAAACAAUAGUGAGUAAAAACUGUUGGUCCCUUACCAGAAAUCAAGGCACAAACUGUAUUAGUAGUCAUUAUAUUCUUCACUUCCAUGCACUUGUAUUUUUCAAAAAGACUUUUCCACUUAAUGUCAUCCUUGAUGAAGCAGUAAAAAUGAUGAUUAAAUCUUGACCCUUGAGUACAUGUACUUUUGAUAUUCUGUGUGACAAAAUGGAAAAGUACAUGCCAAGCACUUCUGGUGCAAACUAAAAUGGUUGUUUUAAGACAAAGUGCUUGUGUGAUUAUGUUGUGAUCUGAGCCAGCUACUUUUGUUCAUGGAAUACUUGAAAUAAUUAAACUAUACUUGAUUCAGCCUUGGGCAUUUGGCAGACUAUUUUUUUCUUAAACGAACAGUGAGUCUGUCAUAUCAAGGAAAACUGACAGUAUUGGUUGCCAGUAAAUAAAAUUUGAGCUUUCAAGCAACAAUUAGUUUUGGAAAACUUGUACUUGCCACUAAGAGCUUGACAGCUUCCCAAUGAUUAAUGUCUUCUGAUGAGAUGGAUGAUGAAAUAAAUAUGAUUUUCGAUGUUAUGAAAUGUGUCAACAUUUUGAAAAUCUGAAUAUCUCAGUAAUUCAGUAUUUUCCAAAAGAUCUAUGUGUGAUAUUACAGGAUCCUACACAGCUAAGAGAUCUGUUCAAAAUGCCAGAUUGAUCAAUGGAUUUUAAUGUAACGGAUUACACAUAGUUCAUUGAUAUGGUUUUAAACUCACACUGAACUAACCUUUAAGAAAGUACCACUUAAUUGAGUUUUGGUGUAGUAUCAAAGAAGACUAUCCACAAUUACUUUAAAAAGCAAAUACUUCUUCCUUUUCCGAUUAUAAAUCUGUGGGGCCAGAUUUUCUGCCUGUGCUUCAACAACAACAAAAAAUCACAAUAUACUGAAUGGGUAAACAGAUAGGAGAUCUAGCUGCUAGGAUUAAGCCAGAUAUUAAGGAGAUUAGCAAAAUGUAAAACAAUGCCACUCUUCUAAUUUUUAUGUUUUAUUGGACAAUUUUAUUUUUCAUAAAAAUGUUAUUUGUACUAACGUGAAUUUAUUAAAUUUAAAUGGAUUAUCAAAUAUUUUAAAUUUUUCAUAGGUUUAUUUUCCAGUAUGAUAAAUAUCAAUAGACAAAGCCACAUAAAUAUCAACCCUUUAGGGUCCUUCAUAAUUUUUAAGAGUGUAAAAGGGAUCCUGAAGAACACUCAGGCAUAAAUAUAUGAGAACUCCAGGUCUAAAUGAACUAACGAAAUGUGUAAAGAAGAUGGUGACUUCACCAGAUACCAUUAGUAGUACUUUUUUUACUUUGGAGUUUUCUUACUUCCCUCGAUAAUUGAGCUACUUUUAUUGAAAAUGAGUUCAUAUCAUUUUAAGUUUUCUUUGCUUGGGAAUACAUGAAAUGUGUGGUAGUGCACUCUCACUGAGUUCUCUGAUAAAGCUUUUGUUACCUGCUACAUGAAACCUGUUGCUUAACUGAUAAUUGUCUUGUGGCAGCAGUUUUUCAAGAGAACCAGUUGCCUCACCAAGGGUAGACUUACAUUUGUGGAAAUAAAUCUGACAACAGAAUUUCUUAAGAGUCAUUGCUAUAGAAUAAUGAACAAUUUAUAAGAGAUAAAGAUCCUAUCGUGCUUUUUAAAACUUCCAUCAAGAAUAGUUUGCUUAUUUGCUUUCCUUAGACAUGUUUGGCUUCACUGAGUCUUAGAGUUGUGAUUUCGGUAAUGCAGUUUUGUAAAUUGGUUUGCUUUUAACCUGGUUUUCACUGAGAUGGUAAUAAAGUCUGUAUAGGAGAGGCAUCUCUUCCUCUGGUCGAAGAAUAUCCUUUCCUAGUGUGAGUAACAUUUUAGUGUAAGUCAAUUACUGUGUUGUUAAAGAGUUAGAAAUUUACUCCUUAGGGUAGUUACUAGGUAGAACUCAUCCUGUAGUGGGCUUGCUGGCUGAAGAAAUGUCACAUAACAAUGUGAAUAACAAAUAAGGAGUUACCGCAUCAGAACUCAAGGUGAAGCUUGGAUAGGUGUUGAAAGAUCAGUGAGAUAAUUAUUUGGGCUUCCUUCCUAAGAGCUCUAAUUAUCUUGAUAUUCUUGGAGUUUCAUGUAAUGUACCUUUGAAAACAUUUUUGUGUUUUGUGGGGAUUGCAGCUUAGUUAUAAGAAAAUACAAGCCUUUCUUUUAUUUCUUAAUGUUUGGAUUUGAAGAUUCAUGUGAAAUCUUCAAUUGCAUUCUUCAGUUGAGUUAAAUUGCUUUAAUUACGAAACCUAAUAACUGAGACAGAUUUGGCUUUUUUCUUCCAUAUUCUUUCUGUACCCUUGAAGUCUAACCUGUCAGGAGACUUCCUCUCUCUAUUCUUGGAAUCCUUCCCCCAAGAUGCCUUUUUAGCAGGAUAAUAAACCACCUGGGGGAAGCCCCCCAUUGACAUGCAUUUAGAGGGCUUUGUUUUUUGGAAAUGGCAAUAGUAGUCCCAUCCAGGGAGGAAGGAUUUUGGUUAGAUGGUGUGAGGCAAAGAGCAGGGACUCUGGAGUGUGGCCUAACAAAGAUCACAGCUAUGCGACUUUGUCACUUGACUUCUCUGAACUUUAGUGUUCUCAUUUAACAUUAAUAGCUAACAUUUACAUAGUGUUUAUAAUCUAAACACCUUAUGUAUAUUUAUCGUCUUAACUCUGAGGUAGGUGUUCUGUUAUCCCCAUCUUACAGGAGAAAACUGAGACCCACAGAGUUUAAACCUCCAGAUUUCGCAGCUAGUAACAGCAUUAAUAAUUUGUUUCAUAGAUUUAACAUCCCCUCUUCUCCAAUAUACUCUGACAUUUCUGAAAUUGACUGUAGGGUUAUAAGGAUUAGAGACAAGGUCUGUAAAUUGCCAAGCAUAGUAUCUGCCUAAAAGCAAAAACCUGAGAAUCUGGGGCAUUUAUCUAUGUUGGAGAGGCCCAGAAUUCAACUUUUAUUGAUUAGAGAGCCAAAAAGACCCACUCUUAGAAUUGCAAGUGACUUUUUUCUUUUCUCUCAUGCUGGCUUUUAUUUUAUUUUUAUUUUUAUUUAUUUAUUUUUUUUUAGUUGGAGUCUCACUCUGUCUCCCAGGCUGGAGUGCAGUGGCGAGAUCUUGGCUCACUGCAGCCUCCGCCUCCCUGGUUUAAGUGAUUCUCCUGCUUCAGCCCCUGGAGCAGCUGGGAUUACAGGUGCCCGCCACCAUGCCUGACUAAUUUUUGUGUUUUUAGUAGAGACGAGAUUUCACCAUGUUGGCCAGGCUGGUCUCGAACUUGUGAUCUCAGGUGAUCUGCCUGCCUCGGCAUCCCACCUCAUGGUGGUUGUUUUUUUUUUUUUUUGAGAUGGAGUCUAGCUCUGUCACCCAGGUUGGAGUGCAGUGGUGCGAUCUUGGCUCAGUGCAACCUCUACCUCCUGGGUUCAAGCAAUUUUUCUGCCUCAGCCUCCUGAGUAGCUGGGAUUAUAGGUGCCCACCAUCGCACCCAGCUAAUUUUUGUAUUUUUAGUAGAGACAGGGUGUCACUGUGUUGGCCAGGCUGGUCUCGAACUCCUGAUCUCAUGAUCCACCCGCCUUGGCCUCCCAAAGUGCUGGGAUUAACAACUGUGAGCCACAGCCCCUGGCCUCAUGUUGGUUUUAAUAAGCCUUUGGCCAGAAAACAAUUUUGCCAAAUCAGGGACAAUCUUCGGUGAACCCAAGGGGUGCUAAGGAAUGAAGGCGUUUUGAGUUACUCAAGGCAGGAGUACAAUGUCUUUUAUCUGUAUCCUAAGCACUGAGAAUUGGUGUUCCAUGAAUAUUGAAUGAAUGAAAGAGGCAAGUCAGGAAUAUGAGCCUUUUGCUUAUCUCAGAGUCCCUUGCUGGUAGUCAGAGUAAGUCUACAAAAUAUAAGGGAAAGGAAUGUGCUUUUCAGCUACUUGAGGAAAUUGGGGCCAAUAUCUAAGUCAAGCAGUGUGUUUAAGCUAAAUCCAAGGUUUGAUAGGCCCUCCUGGAACUAGAAUGUAGUUUCUGUUUGGAAACAUGGUUCUCCUGUAAUUUAAAGUGACUAGAUAUCCCAGAUUAAGACGAGAUGGCCAAUAAACUAGUGGCUGUUUGCUUGACUGUAUUCGGGAAUGCAGUUUAGGAAAAGGUGGCCUUUGUCCCAUGUACCUUUUUAAAAUUCUGUCUCACAAAAGAAAUAUAAGAGCUAGGUGUCCAAAAUUUAUAAAAUACAGAAGGUGAUUUCCUAAUGAAAAGAGAGAUAGUGAGAAAGAUGUAAAAGAGGAUAGGCAGUGUGGGUUAAUAGAUUAUGUUAGCAAAGUAGUUUGAAUAGGAAAAGACUUUAGAGAGGAGCCCAAACAUUGAGGAGUUAUGAGGCCCAGGAGAUACUUUAUGCCUAGGAUCUGAUUCUAGCUCUGUCUCAAAUGCAUGUCUCUGUGGGUCCACCUAUAAAAAUGGAGGAGCUAAAUUAGAUAAUCCCUGAAAGGAUUUUCCAGGUUUAUGAUGGAAUGAAUUGGGCAAAACAGGAAGUUGCAAUUUAGAAAAGUUCUGCCUAAAGCAAAUAGCUGUGGUACUGACUGCCCACAUUCUCUGGGAUGAUUUUGAUGUCAGAUACUGUUCAAUCAUCCCUCUGAGAAUAUUUACAUUUACCAAACUGUUUCCCUGUUCUGCUUUAGAACCCUUGGCUGCUUUAAAGUCUGUGAGAUCCCAUAAUUUAUCUGUAAAUUUCAUUCUUUGAGUCUGCCUUAUAGAAAUGUUUACAGUUACAGUUCUGAUGUUAUGAUAAUUUGUAAUGUAAAUUUGAAAUAAAUUAUGGAGUAUUUUUGUUGUUUAAACAAGAUCACUUUUUUCAUUUAUAACCCCUCCAUGCCACACUUUCUCUUUUUUGAGUACAGUUUCAUUUGCUGAGUCAAACUCAUAGUUAAUUUUAGAGUUUUUCCUCAUUCCUUGUAAUGGGAUAUUUAUCUGCAAAACUCAUUCAGCAUUGAGAAGAGUGCUGUCUUCCUAAGAUUAAAUGCGCUUCAUUUGAGAACGUUGAUUCAUUAAGGGAAAUUGCAAAACAGAAGGGAAACUUCCUUAAAUGCUGCUGGUCUGUAAAAAGGGAACCCAGCAGGAAAGGGGAGAGGUGCAUGGGGGAGGGGUGAAGUGAAGAGUGUAGCAGGGUAGCUGCAGUUGAAAUAUUCAUCAAUCAUUUUACUGGCACCAGGAAACCAAUCAGCCUUUUAGGGAGAGAACUUAAUCAAUCACCUAAUGUGGGAAAAUACAAUUGCUUUCCCACAAAAAAAUAUUCCCUUUCUUGGUGACAGAUCGAAUCUGAGAGAUACUUUGGUUCCCUGGAAUUCAGAACUGACUGCAAGCAGUUGCUGAAAGUACUGCUGUGAAGAAGUGCAUUUAACAUUUGGAGAUAAAAUUUCCUAUCUGCUGCGAGCCUUUUCAAAAUAUUUCAAAAUAAGUUUGCUUUUCGUACAGUGUGCCCAUCAAAAAAUAAAUACUGAGCAAGCCGAAGUGUGUGAAACACUGUAAAUUUAUUCUCCAAAGCUAGUUUCAGAGCAUAGAUAAGGACUCCUGGCUGGAGAAUACCCGAUGUUUCAAAUGCCUUGUUUGGAAAGCAGGGUUAAAGCGUUGUCUAAGGAACAUACCCUGGGAAACACAGUUGGAAGUGCUUGCAUAUAAAUAAAAGCAGGAAAGAUACAGCUGCAUCGUAUAUUUAGGUUUUAAAUACUUGUGAUUUCUGAGGGUCUGUCUGUGCUUGAAUUGCCUGUGGCCCUUAGGUCCUUUGGUUCUUAAGAUGUGAGCUGCUUAAGAAUCCAGUGUUUUUAAAAUUAAUGCAUGGUUACUGAAGAGAAUAUGGAAAACGAAGGGAAAAUAACCUAUAAUCCUACCACUAAGCAACUUUCAUUAACAUUUUCUUCUAGACCUCAAAUCCAAGGUUUUUUUUUUUUUUUUGCAUUUUUUUAGUCAUACAGUAUAUACUAUUACGUUUUCUGCUUUUUGUUUAAUUUUAAAUGUUUUUUCUCCUGUUAUAAACUUCACUCAUUGAACAUCAAGUUAUUUGAAACUUUCGAUAGCUGUAUGACAGCCCAUUGUUUUUCAUUGCUGGCCAUUUAGAUAGGUUUUAUUUUUUCAGUGUUAUAAUAGUACUUCUCACACCAUCUUGUGCUUGCUUUUAUCUUGGCUUAUUUUGGGGGAUAAUUUUGAGAAGUGUGUGUCUAUCUCAAUGUACCCUCACCAACAACUACUUUAAUUUACACUGAGAUACCUUGCAUACCAACAUCCAGGGCUGCCAGCAGUACUUAUUUAUUUUAAUAAAUGCCUGGUGCUUGAGAUAGAAUUUGAGAUACUGUGGGUAGGCUCUUUGCUUUUUAUCAUUUUGGGGUGAGAGAGAGUCAUUCCCCCCCUACCCGCCCUUUUUUUUUCUUUUUGAUUCUGGCACUAGAAUGUUGCCCUGCACCCUCAUCCUAGCAUCUCCAGUCUGGUCAGAGCUGUGCUUAAGGACCCUUCUGAGGCUACCUUCGAAUUCUUAUAGAUAUGGGUGAAUGGGUGGCAGAGACACCCUAGAGCCUUCUCUGGUUGCCUCUAAAAAUCUCGGGAUGAUAAGUUGAUGUGCGUGUGUCUUCUAAUACAAUUAUAUCAUCUCCCACAGUCUUUAAUGUGUCUUGAGACCUACCUAUACCUGAGUGUGAAUAGAAAUUAAGUACAUGCAGAGAGAAUUUAAACUUGCAUUCCUUUAGAAAUCUGCAUGGGUUCCUCAGUGGCUAGUUUCUAUCCUGAUCCUGUGCAGUGUUUGAUGGUGAAAGAAUCUAAAUAAAUCUUAUGCUAAUUUGAAGGGCAUUCACAGUUUUUAACAGGUCUGAUUUCAGAAUGGAAAUAGGAACAUUUUGGGAAUCCAGCUAUCUAUACAUUUUUUUAUUAAAGCAUAAGUCAUAUUUGCUGAAAUUAAAAUUAAGUAGUCUUUAGACAUUGUUAAAGUUUAUGUUGAUUGAAAGUAAACAUGAACAUUUGAAGAUCAUUUGCUUUGCUGCUUUGUGCUCACCACUGGUGAUCAGAAACUUGUAAUUUGCCAAGAUAGGUUUUAUAAUGCUCUUUAAUAAGAAAAUGAAUAAGCCAGCUGCUCUUUCUCUCAACUAUAGCGGGUACAAACCUCCUCAAUUCCUGGUUAGUAAUUAAAAGCCUUGAGAUGACCUUGAAUCUAACUGAACUACAAAAGCUGUCUUGAGUUAAAUUUAUAGCUUUUGUCAAUUUCAAAAGAAUGGUAUUCUAUUUGCUAAAACAUUAAGCGUAGCCUUGGGUGUACAUUGAAGAUCAGAAAUAAUUAAUAAGAGGUACUACUAAAGUGCAAAGGGAAGCCUAAUAUGGGCUACAAAAAUAAUUAAGUUUGUCAUCUAUUUGUUGAUCAUUUAAAAUAUGUACUUGAAAAGAUUUAAGAGAGGGUGGCAUUUUUCAAAGUGUCAUUUUGUGCUAUUCAGAUUUGCUGAAAAGAUCUAUCUUUUCCCCAUCUUAACAUCAAAGAGGUUUUUGAACCCAGUGGGGAAUCAGAACAAAUAUUUAACACUUUUUUAAAAGUAACAGUUUAAUUGAUUCUUAAAAUAUUUUACACAGUGGGAAUUUUCUUAGUGAAAGUUUCUGAUUAUACUCAGUCAGUGUAAAAGUAAAAAUAUUAAUGUUUUAAAAAUGCUUUAUAUGUGAGCCACAUCUUAAGUUCUAUGAAUAAAGAACUUUUCUGCUUACCAAAAGGGUAGAAUAUAUUCGCAGCUGUUUAGAGAGCCUUGAAGUACUAUCUUAUUGAUAGAAAGGACCUUGACAUUGUUGCUAUAAGAAAAGUUAGGUUUUAUGUGUCAGUAGGUCAGAUAAGACAUGUCUUCCAGCAUCAUAAAUGUGAUAAAUCCCUGAAGAGUCCAGCAGUAAAGCAGAUAGUUUGAGCAAGCGGUAAGGUGUUACAUAGAUCUUGCAGAUUUUAGGAUUAUUUUAGUUUUUACAUUUAUUUAAUGAGACUAACCUAGUCACUCUUAGAUCACAAUAAUGAAAUUACAUGCCAGUGUGCUUGUGAAUGAAGCCAACAUAAUGAACGGAAAAAGUUGUUAAUACACAGCAGGGAUUGCCAGUCUGAGAGUCUCUAAUGGAAGUUCUCAAGCAAUUUCAGUUCUGAUUUGAUCUGAAAUCGUGUGAGCAAUAAGGUUGUUCAGGGUAAAUAAAAUGAGAUCUCUGAAAUACUCUUUUGCCUGAAAUAUUUCCACGGUAAUGUGACUCAACCUCUGAAAAGCAGAUCUUUGCAGAAAGGAGUUACUGUAGUAAUGGUAGACAAACUUCAGCAGUGGGAGGGCAGGGGUUAAAAAUUAUUUCAGCAAAUUGGUAGGAUGUAGUGAUAACUAGGUGCAUUAGAGCCUGAGCUUUAACGUUAGACUUGGGUUUAAAUCCUGUCUAUUCUUGUGAUUUUUUAAUGUAUUUUUUUGACAGUUGAGUGGAAGGGGGGUGGAGAUACUGGGUGGAGGGUGGUAAAAGGAUGUGGAAUCACCACAUUGAUUAUUGGAGAAUGAAAUGAGGUAGUUUAUGGAAAACCUGGAAUGUAGCUGUAUUACUUUACAAAAGUUUCUGAGUUAAUUUCCUUAUCUGUAAGUAAUGUUAAUAUCAUCGAUCUCAUAGGUACAGCAGACCAGUUUACCACAAUCCAAGUCAUUGAAAACCAGUUUCCCAGAUGUUCAGUUUACCCAGUAUUCCAUUCAAUAAAAGACAGUUUGCUGAAUCUAAUCUGUAGACCUUACAGAACCCGUUGUUCAUCUCGUUUUUCUUAAAUGCUCCCCACCAUUUUUUUCCUUUUUGUUUUUCCCGUUUCCUAUACAUCAUUUCUCCCCCAUGCCCUGCAGCCCAGACAAGGAUGUAUAUUUCUACCAGCAGAGGUCCUCUCUGCUUCAGCUCUCUCCAGCUGCAGUGUAGAGACAAAUUGAACAUCUUAAAAAUGCUGGUAUUCCAACGGUCAGUUCUGACUUGGCAGAAAUCCUUAAAAGGUAAUUAACUGUCUCAUCAAUAUGAAUUUUUAUAAACUGUCCAAAUAUUUAAAACAAAUUUUUGACAAAUUUAGAGAAUUGGCUAUUUGGAGAUUUGGCAAUUUGGUCAGUUGACUUGGAAUUAUCUCAUAUAGGUUUGGAAAAAUUUGGCAAUAUAUGUAAAAUAAAGUGCCUAUUACUCACAAUGGUGGGACUGUAGUAAGUACUCAGUUGGUGUUCCUUUUCUUGAAGCAUUCCUACUCUGAGUUGGAACUCCUCCUCCCAAGGUUUUUCUCCCCUGUGGGCUCUAGUUUGACAAUAUCAGGUGAUAAAGGCUGGUUAUGAACCACCUAGUGACUUUCUUUUCCAUUACAGAGUUGUUGAAUUUGCCCAAAUGAAAUACUUUAUUUUGGCUUGGACUUGUUAUAAAAUGGUCCUUCCUUCCUUGGUGCCCUUUAGGGUUUGACUUCUCAGUGAUUUAAGAUAUGUGCCCCUUUUCUGUAGCACUUUAUUCCCAGUCUUGCUUGUAAGUAGAAUUAUGAGCCUUAGGAGAGUAGACUGCAGCUUUAUCAGGGUAAAAGCAAGGCUAGGUCCCUGGAGGUUCUUAGUGGGAAGUAUUAGAACCAGAGCAAAUGCUCCUGUCUCUGAUAUACAGGAAGCCCAGCAUCCCCAUCCCCUACCCAAAGUCUCUCUCUGGAGGUCUCUAAAAAGGUUUUCUGGUAAUAUCCUUAAAAGGGAAGGGAACAAGUAGUUGUUGAACACUCAGCACUAGGCACAGAGCUAAACUAACUCAUGUAAUCCUUUCCAUAACUUUUCUUUGGAUAGGUGGUGAUAUUCCCUUAUUAUAGAUGAGUAAACUGAGGCUUAGAGUUGAAAAUAACCUUCUACUAACCACUACUCUGCUAAACCAGUAUUUUUAAAUCUUCAGUUUUUCCUGUAUCACCACAUGAUUUUUGUCAUUUUCUAAUAUAUUGCUUAUUUAAUUUUUUAAAUAUUGAAUAGUUAACAUUCUGCAACCCAACAUUUAUUUUAAAAUGAAUUUUUUUAUUAGCUUAAAUGAAAAAUUAUUUGCCACAAGUAGAAAGUAACAAUGAAAAAAAUUUAAUGAAAAUAGAAUUGUGUUAAAUUCUAAAUGCUAUUGUCUGCCAAGGUCUCUGACCAGGCCUUUGAUAGAGAGAUUAGUAAGCACUAGAGAGGCACUAGAAAAACUAACACCACAUUUUUCUUCUGAUGUAAUCAGAAGGAUUGAAAGAGAGUGGAAAAGGUACUAACAGCUUUGGAAUGUUUUAUGAUGCCUUCUCUUUGUACCAUUUAAAAUCAUCCAGUGGUUUCCUUGCUUUGGGAAACACUGACAUAGGUGAUGGUGUGUACAUUUUACAAAUGAGUAAACUGAGUCUUAGGGAAGAGGAAAUUUGUUCGAAGUUGAACCAGUCCCACAGGCCUUACUGCCUAGGUACCCCCUCCUUACUUUUCUUUCUCUCCUUUCAUCCUUCCUCUUGCCUCCCUGUCCCUGCCUCUCCUCUUUUCUUCCUCAUCCUCUAAGAGAAUUCAGCUAACUCCAGAGUAGUGUAGAGAUUUUUAGAUGUGUUUUUCUGAUCUUUUUUUUUUUUUAAUUUAACUGCUGUGAGAUAGGAUUUCAUCUUUAAAAACUUAGGUCUUUCUUAAAACAUUGUGUUUCUUAGUGCUUAGUGAAUUUCAGAAGUUGGGUGUAAAAUAUAUAGUAAUUUUGUAGGUACUUGUACCCCUACAUAAAUGAUUUAUUGAAAUAACUGUAAAGACAUCAUAAACAUUCCCUUGCCUCCUCAUUAGAUAAUGUUGGAAAAGUGAGCUUGAGAAAAGAUAUUGCCAGCAGUUUUUGAAACAGAUGUUAUCUCAAGUGCAUUAAAGGACAAUUUCUUUGACUUUUAUUGCGUGUUGUAGUUUUGUAAUUUAUAUUAAUAAUUAUGUUUAAUUACCAUUUUAUUGUGUUCUAUUGGAAACAAUAGGUAGCUGAUGUAACUUUACCAUAAUUGAAGCCUAGAUUAUAAUUUGAUUUUUAAAAAUUUUAUCCUUUUAAAAAAAUUGAUUGUUUAAUUUUAAUUUGAUUUUAUCUUUAAAACUUUUUGAAUAAGAAAAAAACCUAUUGUCAUUUUUUCUUAUUUAAUUUUUUUGUUUGUUUGAGACAGAGUCUUGCUCUGUUGCCCAGGCUGGAGUGCAGUGGCGUGAUCUUGGCUCAUUGUAACCUCUGCCUCCUGGGUUUAAGCCAUUCUCAUGCUUCAGGAGCCCGAGUAGCCAGGAUUACAGGUGCAUGCCACCAUGCACAGCUAAUUUUUGUAUUUUUAGUAGAGACAGGGUUUCACCAUUUUGGCCAGGCUGGUCUUGAGCUCCUGACCAAGUGAUCCGCCCACCCCGGGCUCCCAAAGUGUUGGGAUUAUAGGCGUGAGCCAUCCUGCCCUUCUGUUUUAUUUAAUUUUGUAUUGUGACAAUAGCUUCUUCAAAUACAAAAGGAGGAAUUUUGUAAUCCUGUUGUUUAAAAAGUUUGUUCCACUAGUUACUAAAAGAAAAAAAUUCAGUUCCGAAUUAUUUUAAAUAGCAUCCUUAAAAUUCUUCAUGGAAACACUUUGUACUUUGAAAGAAAUUGAGGAUUUUUUAAAGAAAUUCCAGUUAUGGUAAUUUUCCUAUUUCUAAUUUAUUGUACUUUGUCUAUGCUAGCCAUAUCUCUGAACAUUUACUGUGGAUUCUUGAUAAAUCAUCUUGUGAAACCCGUUUCUAAUAGAUUUUUAAUCCCAGGCACCAGACUCAUGUAGUGUAUGGCACACCCCACUUGGUUUAAUUGAUAUUUUAGUAAAAUUUUUCUGAUACUUGGGUAUAAGCUAGAAUAUAUAAUUCUUGCUCGGUGACACUUUGAUUCCAGGGUCUCAAUCCAGAGCUUAGCUCAGGGUAAGGAGGUUUGUCAGCAUGCCUUGGUAUGAAGUAAUGAAGUAAGGAGGACUUCCAGCCAGGAGUUUCGAAUGUUAUUGUCAAGCUCAUAUGUGCUCUAUCUAGAAGAAUUUUUACCAUUUAAAUUGUAAAUCACACACACAAAAACUUAAUUUUUCUCUCGUUCUUAGAGGAUAUGUUGAACUGUUUAUGUUCUUGUUAGAAAGUUUUGGUCUCAACUGAUUUCUUCGCUGAGUUGUGAUUUAACAAUUAUAUUGAUGUGCAGUAUUAGCCUAAUUAGUACUUGGGUGUGACUAGUGUCUUUCUCUGAAAAUUUUGUCGUUAAUGGUUUGCCUUUCCUUUUUUCUUGAGCUGAAAUUUAUUGUGUGCCCACUGUGUGAUAAUUACAUGCAGCAACCUUAUAAGGAGAGUAACAUUAUUUUCAUUUUGCAGAUGGGAGGAACAACUUAAGUGACUUGGCCCCCUAAGUGGGAGAGAUGGGACUCAGACCCAAAUGUGUCUGAUCCAGGGCUUACACUCUUGGAAUCUGAGCACUAGCUUCUGGUAGAGGAUACAAAGGGCCAUUUGUACCUUAAGGAGUCUAGUAUUUAGGAGACUGUGUUUUAAUGGUAGAUGCAAGAAUUAAAGCCAGACUUCAAUUUUAGCCGUGGAGACAAGUAUGGUCUUUGAAAAUUGCUUGUUUAAAAAUCUUGACUUUUUUUUUCCUUAACUGGUCAUGAUUUUUAUUUAUUUAUUUAUUUAUUUUUUUGAGACGGAGUUUCGCUCUGUCACCCAGGCUGGAGUGCAGUGGCGCGAUCUUGGCUCACUGCAACCUCCGCCUCCUGGGUUCACGCCAUUCUCCUGCCUCAGCCUCCCGAGUAGCUGGGACUACAGGCGCCCACCACCACGCCCGGCUAAUUUUUUGUAUUUUUAGUAGAGACGGGGUUUCACCAUAUUGGCCAGGCUGGUCUCGUUCUCCUGACCUCGUGAUCCGCCUGCCUCGGCCUCCCAAAGGGCUGGGAUUACAGGCGUGAGCCACCGCGCCUGGCCUAUUUAUUUAUUUUUUAAAGAUGCCUUUAUGUAUUUCUAAGGAGAAGAGCAAAGUCCAAAGCCAAUUUGUGAUGUUGGAGAAAGAUGCUGUUGUGAGGUUUAGGACAAAUCCUUGCCAAUGGGGAGACAAGGAAGCAAAGAGACCCUUGCUUAAAAAUGCUGGCCCUGGGCAUGUGACAUGGAAGCAGAACUCCAUGUGGAAUGGGAGAGACUUUUGAUCCUUAAUGCCUUUUAGGAAACAAAGCAAAAUAGCAUUAGGCUCUUAAAUACUAUUUGAUACAAGAUGAAGAGUGAAUAAUAUAAACUAGAAACAUGAGAGCCUUAACAUGGUAGGGACUGAAAGUAACCAAUGUGUCUAUACAGUCUCAAUUUCCAGGUCAGCUUGUAUUAAAGUUUGCCUUGCUGACCUUACAAAUACGUUCUUCUCAUUUGAUAUCCUUAGUAUUUACUUUUUGAAUAGUAUGGUCACUGUGACUUAUUCAGGAAUGUGAGGCAUAUUCAGAGAGAAGAUUGUUAAACUCAGAACAGCUGUAUACCAAAUAAUCAUCUCUUACUCUGGAAGUCCAGUUGAGCUGUGGGGAAGUAGGGAUGCAAUUCUAACCUUAUGUUUGUGCUAAUGUAUGUUAAUGCUAGAAGAGGAACUUCUAAGCCUGUGGAACUUAUAAUAGGUAUCAAAAACUGUAAAGAAACAUGCGUUAUGUAAGAGUGUGAUUUUAGCGGGGCAGGGUAUACUAGUAUCUGUAGUGCUUUAACAAGCUGGUGUGAUGGUGUGCAUCUAUAGUUCCAGCUACUGGGAAGGCUGAGGCAGGAGGAUUGCUUGAGUCAGAAGUUCGAGGCUGGAGUGCAUUAUGAUUGUUCCUGUGAAUGGCCACUGCACUACAGCCUGGGCAACAUAGCGAGACCUGUCUCUUAAAAAAAAAAUACCGUAUUUAUUUUAUUGAUUGGGUGAUCUGAGAUCUGAAUGGUUGACCCAAAGGUCAAUUUUCACAUGAAUACUGCAACCUCAUGAAGAAGCUGACCUCUCAGUAAUAGCACUGGGUGAUGACUUAGUAAAAGGUCCUAUUCCCUAAGUGUGUGCAGAAUGGAACACUUUCCCUAAAGCUGCUGCAAAGUGGUUUAGAUUUUUUAAAUUAAGAAGUCUUUUCUGAGUCUGUUUAUAUUUGUGUUUUGGAGGGUUUCCAAUUAUAAUAAUGGGUAACUCUUUUUUUUUUUUUUUGAAAUGGAGUUUCACUCUUGUUGCCCAGGUUGGAGUGCAAUGGUGCGAUUUUGGCUCACUGCAACCUCCGCCUCUCGGGUUCAAGUGAUUCUCCUGCCUCGGCCUCCUUAGUAGCUGGGAUUACAGACAUGCGCCACUACACUCGGCUAAUUUUGUAUUUUUAGUAGAGAUGGAGUUUCUCCAUGUUGGUCAGGCUGGUCUCAAACUCCCUACUUCAGGUGAUCCGCCCGCCUUGGCCUCCCAAAGUGCUGGGGUUACAGGCGUGAGCCACCGCACCUGGCCAAUAAUAGGUAACUCUUACUGAACAUUUGCUAUAUGCUAGGUACUGUUUUGAGUACUUAUAUUUAUUUCAUUUAAUACUUACAACAGCCCUGUUAAGUUCUUUUUUUUUUUUUUUUGAGACAGAGUCUCGCUCUGUCGCCCAGGCUAGAGUGCAGUGGCGCGAUCUCAGCUCACUGCAAGCUCCACCUCCCGGGUUCAUGCCAUUCUCCUGCCUCAGCCUCCCGAAUAGCUGGGACUACAGGCGCCUGCCACCGCGCCUGGCUAAUUUUUUUUUUUGUAUUUUUAAUAGAGACGGGGUUUCACCGUGUUAGCCAGGAUGGUCUCGAUCUCCUGACCUCGUGAUCUGCCUGCCUCGGCCUCCCAAAGUGCUGGGAUUACAGGCUUGAGCCACUGCGCCCGGCUUAAGUUAAGUUCUUUUGUUCCCAUUUUUAGAUCGGGGAAAUGCCUAUGGGACCACAAUUAGUGUUUAAAUCACAGGAAUCCUACAAAUGUUAUUCCCUUUAAACAAUUUCUCCUUUCUGUAAAAUGGGGGCUACAGUGGGAUGGAAGAGAUUAGGAAUGAUUUAUAGUUUAUCCUUCUAGUUUUUUUUAAAAAAUCUAAGAAUCUUGAUAACCCCUUAAGGGUUCCUCAAGUGUUAGCAUUGUAUGAUUUGUACCCCCUAUUAUACACAACUGCAACUUUUGAUAAACUCAUGGACUUUAGAGCUGAAAAAUGAUGCUAAGAAAAUUGAUCUUUCACUGAGGAGAAAAUCUAAGUACAGAGGGAGUAGAUCACUUAGCCUUAUACAAAUGGCUUAUUAAUACUGAAGCAAGGCAUCUUGCCUAGUAUAUCACUUUAUUGAUAUCUUAAUAUUAGAAACUUGCUUUAACAUCAAAGUUGGUAUAUUUGCAUCUCUGUAUAAAGAGAGUUUGCAAAUAGGAAUUUAGGUGUUAUCCUUUUCAAGCUUUGGGGUGUUUCGAGGAAAUAAGGUUGCAAAAAGUAGCUUUUCAAUUGUUGGAUUUGUUUAUUUCUGUAAUUUGGUGCUAUUAAUGUAUGCUAAAAAGUUGAAAAGGGGAAUCAAACAGGAUUUUUGAGUGGAUUAGGAAAUUAAAUUCCAGGAAGAGAGAGGAGCAGUCAUAAUAGUCUAGGAUUAUAGGGUGAUUAGAUGCCUUGAGCUUGAUCUAGGGAUAUUUGAGAGAGAAUGAAAAUGUCCUGGUGAUUGACUAUAUUAUUCGAGGGGACUGUUGGGAAGGGUGGUAAAGUGGGAGCCCAGGAGGAGUCUUUGGGGAUCUCUGGCUUGGGGGAUGAGAGUUGGUGGUACCUGGAACCUGAGUGAAGAACACAGGAGAAAGAGGAUUCAAAGAGAAAAUAAUAGGUUCAGUUUGACAUGUUGAAAUUGAUGGAGCCUAUGGGUUAUUUAUCCUGGUAGACAUUGACAAUAGACAUUUGGAUAGAUGGGUCUGUGGUUCAGGAGAAGAGUCUCAUCCAGAAUUGAAAGUUUGGGGGAGAGGGGAAUCAUCAGUUGGGAAGUGUAAGUGAAAGUGUAUGUGGAUGAGACCAUCCAACCUAGGAUGAGAAGGUUGUGUGUGUGCUGGGAUAGGCCUUUCUUGCCUGUGAGGACAUUUAGUAAAGAACAUGUCAGGCUGGACGUGGUGGCACAUGAUUGUAGUCCCAGCUACUCGAGAGGCUGAGGCGGGUUGGGUUGAUCCCUUGAGCCUGGGAGGUCGAGGCUGCAGUGAGCCAUAAUUAUGCCAUUGCACUGUAGCCUAGGUGACUAAGUGAAACUCUGUCUCAAAAAAAAAAAAAAAAAAAAGUCAGACAAGGUCUGUAUAAUCAUCUGUAAGGAUGUGACUGCUUCUAGGGGAAAUAGUUGCCAGCAGUGGAAGGACAUCCAAAAGAUAUGUAUGGCUGAGUAUUAUUGAUAAUGUGUCUGUAUUUACAUUCUUUCUUUCCUCCCUUACUAGUCUGAUUCAAGUGCCAUUUUGUCAUUAACUUUUUUCUAGUUUUCCCUAAGAAGAAAUAAAUAGUGUGACCACUGCUGUUAAUGUCUCCAUUAGGGCAUUUACUUCAAAAGUCCUUGUAUCCAGUCAGUUUUCUAUUUUCUAUGCUAGAUUUUAAGAAUCUAGGGGUAGCCAGCUUUACUCACCUAUUUUUCCAAUGCAGUCUGGGAUAGCAGCCUAUACAUGGAAAACACUAGGUAAAUAUUUGUUGAAUUUGAUUUUAGAAUAUAGGAAAGUUUAGCAUCUAAAAAAAAGGAGUUUUUUCUCCCUUAGUCCUAUUUUGUAGAGUAUCUUUUGUAUUUAUGUUGUGCUAUAAAUACUUGGUUGUUGCUCUUCUGUCUUAACUCACCAGGUUUGAAUAGUUUUUAAAAAUUUCUUUUGGAAUUAUUGUUUUUUUUUCUUUUUCCUUUUUUUAGACGGAGUCUCGCUCUGUUGCCCAGGCUGGAGUGCAGUAGGCAAUCUUGGCUCACUGCAACCUUUGCCUCCCGGGUUCAAGUGAUUCUCCUGUCUCAGCCUACCAGGUAGCUGGGAUUAUAGGUGCCCACCACCAUGCCCAGCUAAGUUUUGUAUUUUUAGUAGAGAUGGGGUUUCACCGUGGUGACCAGGCUGGUCUUGAACUCCUGACCUCAGGUGAUCCACCUACCUGGGCCUCCCAAAGUGCUGGGAUUACAGGUGUGAGCCACUGUGCCUGGCACAGAAUUAUUCAUAGGUAUGAUUAACUAGCUUUGCUUCAGAUUUGAAAGAUCCUGGGAUGAAAGGUUAAAGAUGUAUUUCUUUGUUGCCACACAAUGGAUUUCUGAAGCUGGGACGUGGGAGAUAGUACUGAGCUUUAAGCAUUCAUGACUAGUAUGUAAGAAAGAUUAGUGCCCAGAAUUGUGUUUCUAAUAAGAUAGUAAUUUAAAAGUCAUUUAGAGAAUGGUAGUUUUUUUUUUCCCCUUCAGUUGAAGCUGUUGAUUGUAGACAGUUUAGCCAAAUCAUUUUGUUUUUAGGAUUUUUUUUUUUUUUUUUUUUUUGAGACAGAGUCUGGCUCUGUCGCCCAGGCUGGAGUGCAGUGGCGCGAUCUUGGCUUACUGCAACCUCUGCCUCCCGGAUUCAAGCAGUUCUCCCUGCCUCAGCCUCUUGAGUAGGCAGGGAGAAUUGCACAGGCAUGCACCACCAUGCCUGGCAAUUUUUUGUAUUUUUUAGUAGAGAUGGAGUUUCCUGUGUUGGCCAGGCUGAUCUUGAACUCCUGACUUCAGGUGAUCUGCCCGCCUUAGCCUCCCAAAGCUAGGAUUACAGAUGUGAGCCACCGCACCCGGCCUGUUCUUAGGAUUUUUUUUUUUUUUUUUUAAGACAGAGUUUCACUCUUGUUGCCCAGGCUGGAGUGCCAUGGCACGAUCUUGGCUCACUGCAACCUCUGCCUCCCGGGUUCAAGCGAUUCUCCUGCCUCAGCCUCCCAAGUAGCUGGGACUACAGGCAUGCGCCACCAUGCCCGGCUAAUUUUGUAUUUUUAGUAAAGACGGGGUUUGUCCAUGUUGGGCAGGCUGGUCUCAAACUCCCGACCUCAGGUGAUCUGCCCGCCUCAGCCUCCCAAAGUGCUGGGAUUACAGGCGUGAGCCGCUGUGCCCUGCCAGGAUUUUUUUAAUGUAUGUUUCUGUUUAUAAAAACAAUAUAUUUUAAUCAGAAAAGUAGAAUGGAGGAAGAAAAAUUAGUUAUACUAAGAGAUAAUCACUAAGAGAAAAUGGACCAAAGUGUUUUUUUUUUCAUGUAUAUAUGUAUUGGAAUAUACCUGAGCUCAUUCCAAGAAUACAGUUUUACAUUGUAUUUUUAAUAUGGUAUUUGCCCUUUGUAAACUCUUGGAAAACAUUUAUAGUGUUCGCAAAAUAUUCCAUUGAAUAAGUGUACAUAAUUUAAUCAUUUUCCUGUGUUUGAAUUUUUAGAUGGCCUCGAGUUUUGUACUAUUUUCUGUAUUUCUGAUUCUUAGGAUAGAUUCCUAAGAUUGAUCCAGAGGGAUAAACAUUUUCUAGGCCCUCAUGCAUCCAUCUUCCCUUUUUAUAUGGAGAUUUUAAAGAAAAUAAGGAAAAAGGUACAUUCUGCCACAUGUGGGACAUCUCUUUGGUGGUAUCUGCACCUUACUAAUGGAUUUCCUGAGCAGAGCUGGCUACUUCUCUUCCAUCAAACCAUCUGUUGAGGAUGGUGUGGGGCACUUUCUGAAAUGACUUUGAAAGCUCUCUGACCAUGUUCAAACAAACUCCUUGAUCAGUAAGACUUUAGUCAGUCUUCACAAUGACAAUGAACAAAUAAAAACAUCUUCACUUCCCUCAGUAGCUGCUUCUGACAGGCAUCUUGGAUUUUUCAGGAGGUGACUUGUAAAUGGGCUCAAGUAAGGUGUGGUAUUCUUCUUGGACGUUGAGGUCCUGCUGUUAUGGGAGCAUCAGGGUUGCUCUUUGAGAUUAUGCUAAGUUCCCAUCCAUCCGGCUGUUGCAGAACAUGCACUGCGCAAAGUGCUUUCACAUGCUGCUUCCUCUAAAUAUGUUUCUCAAAUAGCCCUGUUUGCCUGGUGAAUGCCUGUCUCCUCUCUGUGCUCCUGGCUCCAUGAUUGCUGCUUCUCUUCUCCCUGAUAUCGAUCAUGGCUACCGAGCACUUUCACUGACCUCAGUGCAUCAUAUCAUUGAGUACUCAUAAUCGACAGAUGAGGAAAUUGGCCCAGAGGGUGAAGUCAUUUCCUAAGCUAACACAAUUAGUAAGUAAUGGUGCCAGGACUCAAACCUAUUCUGAAAUAAAAAUUUAUGCUCUUUCUACUCUGCACUGCUUCCCAGUGUAUCAUGUCCAUCUGUCCCAUAGUGUUAAUUUUUUCGAAAAUAUUGUUUCAACUUUUUUCUUCAGUAGGCUUUAAUCUUUUUAAAAAUUGUGGUAAAAUAUACGUAGCAUAAAAUUUACCAUUUUAACCAUUUGAAGUGUACAACUUAGUGGCAUUAAGUGCAUUUGCAUUGUCAGGCUCUACAGUUAUUUUUGUCUGCUCUGUACUCCUAGAGACUAUUAAUUCUCUGUAGUCAGUCUUAUUCAUAUCUCUACCUUCGAGGCCUCUGGCCUGUUACAGUAUGGGUAGAUACUUAAUAUUUGAAGGAGUAAGUGACUGCAUUUGCAGGCUGAUGGACCUAUUCUUAUAACAGCUGACACAGCUAUAAAUUGGCUAGUAAAUAAUACUGGCCUAAACAUUUCCAUAUUUUAUUUUUUUAAGCAUGUAUAUCCAAAACAUGUGGUGUGACAAAUUUACAAAGAGGGACGACAACUAUGUUUUCACUGUUUCAUAGCCACCAGCCUCAUACGGCCAUUUAAAUUAAGAGUAAAGUUAAAAAUUCAGUUCCUCAUUCACGCCAGUCACAUUCCAAGUACUCAUUGGCCACAUGUAGCUAGUGGCAACUGUAUUGGACAGUGUAGAUAUAUGACAUUUUCGUCAUUGUAGAAAUUUCUAUUGGACAGUGCUUAUCUAGGCUUUAAAAGUUGAGAAUAGUGAAAUUGUUCUCUUGAAAUUUGUUAUUUUGGCAAGAAAUUCAUUGUAGUGGCAUUGUAGCUUACCAUUAUUGUCUUCUGGUGAAAGAAACAGUUCUUCAAACAUUUAUUGAGCUGCCUUUCCUGGGACAUGUCUCAGGCCCAGGGCUGGGGUUAUCUUUGGGGUUGAGACUAGAUUUGACUGAUCUAGUCAAGAGUUUUAUUGGGUGCCAAAUCAUGAUCACGGGAGACAAGGUAGAUGGGAAACUGAUACAGCUGACUAGAGGGGAUUGGUCUAGGAAAGACCAGUGAAUGACUGUUGUAUAUCAAUAGAAAACCUGGGUAAAGAUUUUUAACUUUUUCUUGGGGAUCCUGGAAAAACAGACUUCUCUGAAACCUUGGGUUCUCUGAAUUCAGGUUCUAGUGGUCCUGAUCAUGAUAUGGUUGUGGUGUGUAAAGCACAGGAACCUGUGGGAGCAUAGAAGAGUCACACAGAAUUCGUCAGAGCAAUUUCAAGACCUAUUUUGACCUUUGGCUUUCUUAGUCCUACAAGCCCUGUGUCACUGUAUCUCAUGUUUAAAACUAUAUAAGACUUGAAUUGCAAUUGACUAAGUGAAAUAACGUUAUCUCAUAUUUAAUUAAAACAUUUGAAUUUCAAA